AGAUGUUGUAGAACUACAACUCCCAUGAUGCUUUGUCAUUCUAAAGGCAGGCAAAGCAUCAUGGGAGUUGUAGUUCUACAACA